rnacentral:lncRNA from 1 species
CUCAGUCCUUUCUUCUGCCUCUUGCCCCUUUGGAAACUAAGUUUAGAAACUUUAGAAACUAAGCCCUGCUGUCUAGCUUUUGCCAAGUUUGCAUUCAUACCCCUCCAUAACACUGAGUGGCCACCUGCCUCCAGAUGGUUCUCUACUAUUCAGUGUCCUUUGCUGCCAGCCUGCCUGCCAGUUUGGAAACCCUGCUAUGAGGAUGUUCUCUGCACACUGGACUCUCAUAAGUCUGCAGCUGCAUCCACCUCUCUGGUGGCUCCUCCACUCAAAGAGACAGAUCCAGUACUGCAUAUGGAUGCUUCAGUCUUACCCUGUCUGCUGGGACUGACCAGGGAUGACCACUUGUGUCUGAGCUUGGCAACACCUUGGGAAUUGAAUAUCUGCAGUAGUGUCCUCGCCUUCAUCUACCUCACAGCAUUUCAAUGCAGUUCACUUGCUGCACUAGACAAAGUCACUUCAGCCAUCUUCUUCCUCUGGGAAAUGGCAACAACUGUAGCAGCAUGCCUGGACCCUGAAAUGGAAGCUACUUGAAGCUACUUGAGGGGGAAGGUGGACCCACCAGGUCAUAAAGCAAAGCUAUUCACCAAUCCAUCCAACUGUGGGCUAUUUAUCUGCCCUGGGCUACUGCAGGAGAAAAAUAAACUUCUGCUUAUGUAAGUCA